GACGAACGCUGGCGGCGUGCCUAAUACAUGCAAGUAGAACGAGUUGCGAACGGGUGAGUAACGCGUUGUAACCUGCCUCAUAGCGGGGGAUAACUAUUGGGAACGGUAGCUAAUACCGCAUACUGUGAGAUGGACCUGCGUUGUAUUAGCUAGUUGGUGAGGUAAAGGCUCACCAAGGCGACGAUACAUAGCCGACCUGAGAGGAUGACCAGCCAAACUGGAACUGAGAAACGGUCCAGACUCCUACGGGAGGCAGCAGUGGGUAAUAUUGCACAAUGGGCGCAAGCCUGAUGCAGCCAUGCCGCGUGUAUGAAGAAGGCCUUCGGGUUGUAAAGUACUUUCAGCGGGGAGGCGUUACCCGCAGAAGAAGCACCGGCUAACUCCGUGCCAGCCGCCGCGGUAAUUC
rnacentral:rRNA from 1 species